rnacentral:rRNA from 1 species
UACGUAGGGGGCAAGCGUUGUUCGGAAUUACUGGGCGUAAAGGGCGCGUAGGCGGCACAGCAAGUCGGGAGUGAAAGCCCGGGGCUCAACCUGGGAACUGCAUUUGUGACUGCAUGGCUAGAGUGCGGCAGAGGGGGAUGGAAUUCCGCGUGUAGCAGUGAAAUGCGUAGAGAUUUGGAGGAACACCAGUGGCGAAGGCGACUUUCUGGUCUGUAACUGACACUGAGGCGCGAAAGCGUGGGGAGCAAACAGG